rnacentral:lncRNA from 1 species
AAAAAAGAUGCUGCUAGGAAUGUUAUACAAGUUGAAGAUUUACCUCCACCUUCUCCUAAGAGAUGAAAAUUGACUUCAAAGGUAUGGAAUGAUUUUAUAAAAUUUAAGGGGCCAAAAGGAAAUGAAAUUGCAAAUUGCAAACAUUGUCGUAAAGAAUUUGUAGGAGAGAGUGUUAAAGGAACUAGCCACUCAAAGAAUCACUUGGACAGGUGUAAUGGGAAAAGUAGUAGAGACAUUGGUCAACAAAUGCUAUCCAUAUCCAAAAGUUUCCUAGAGGCUGCUACCAUGGUUCAAAAUCAUAAGUUUGACCAAUUGAAAAGUAGGAUGGAUUUUGCUAAGAAGGUUAUCAUGCAUAAUUAUCCUUUUAAUAUGGCUGAACAUGAAUAUUUUGAGAUAUUUUGUAAUGGUUUGCAACCAAUGUUACAGUGAGAUCGGAUGUCCUUGAAGUUUACAAACGUGAAAAGGAAAAGUUACACAACCACUUAGAGAAACUCCCAGGUAAAAUCACUCUAACUACUGAUAUUUGGACAUUUGAUCAUCAAGAUAUUGGUUAUAUAUGCUUGACAUCUCAUUUUAUUGAUGAUAAUUGGGAAUUGAACAAAAAAAUAAUUGGUUAUAGAUGUAUCGAAUAUCCUCAUGACGCGGAAACCCUUUUUAGAUACAUCAUGAUAAGAUUUUGGAUUGGAAUCUGGAGAAAAAAUUGUUCGCCAUGGUGGUUGACAAUGCUACCGUCAAUGAUGCGAUGGUAAGAAGUUUGAAAAGUUGGCUUUGUGACAAGUCUGCAAUACCUUUGGAAGGUAAGUUAUUUCACAUGCGUUGUAGUGCUCAUAUUCUUAAUUUGAUUGUGUAAGACGGUUUAAAAGUAAUUGGAGUGUUUAUUCAUAAGGUUAGAGAAACUGUGAAGUAUUUGAAAAGGUCUCCAUAUGCAACACAAACAUUUACUCAUGCAAAAAAUUAACUUAGGUUGAAAGAUAAUUGAAAGUGUGAUAGAGAUGAAAGAGGUGCUUUGGCCCCUAGCACAAACAAAUCGUAAUUAUAAACUCUAUCCAAGUGAGGAAGAAUGGAAAAUUGCUAAAGUUCUAUGUGAUUGCUUGAGAAUAUUUUAUGAUGCAACAAAUCAUUUUUCUGGUUCUCAUUUCCCCACAUCAAAUGUGUUUUUUCUGGAUGUUUGUGAUAUUCAACUACAUUUAUCAAAAUGGGAAAGAAAUGAGCACGGCUUUUUGAGUAUGAUGACUGGCCCAAUGAAAUUGAAGUUUGUUAAAUAUUAGGAGGAGUGUUGUUUGGUAUUAGCAAUUGCUAUUAUUUUUUUAUCCAAGAUUUAAAAUGAAUUUGGUUGAAUAUUAUUAUGAUAAACUCUAUGGUAUUGAUGCUCAUACACAUGUUGAAAGAGUUUGUAAGGUAACAUUUAACCUUUUCAAUGAGUAUGAUGAAAGUUCAUCCCAAUCUGAAGUGGAAGCAAGUCAAGAAGUUGGUUCUAGUAGUGAUCAUAGAAUGGGGGCAUUUCUAGAGGACCAAUUGAGUGGGUUUGAUUCUUGGUCAACACAAUUUCGAUCUUCUAAUUUGUCAUGUUCUUCGAAAAAGUCAGAAUUAGAGAAGUACUUGGAGGAACCAUUAUUUCCAAGAACUGAAAAUUUUAAAGUUCUGAAUUGGUGGAAGGUUAAUAAUGCUAAAUUCCCCAUUCUUGGAAAAAUUGCUCGCGACAUAUUAGCUAUUCCAGCAACUACUGCUGUGUCUGAGGCUGCAUUUAGUGUGGGAGGAAGAGUAAUUGAUGAUUUUCGUGCUUCGUUGCUUCCGAAAACUGUAGAAGCUUUGGUGACCACACAAGAUUGGCUCCCUUCCCUGAAAAAGAAGAGUAAGUAACUAAGUAUUCUAAUUAUUAAGUUUGGUUAUAUUUUUUUCUCAAG